GAGUGCGGGGGCGACUGGCGCUGAACGUGGGCUGACCACGGGGGAGCCUCCGGAAGAGUGAAUGAUCGCGCGCCUGGGUCGAACGG
rfam:Deinococcus sp. TR1 contig_101, whole genome shotgun sequence.